CGCUGCCCUGAAAUUCUACCUGCAGCUUCAAGAGAUGGUAUACUUCCGCCUUUCUGUUAUGACACUAAUGUGCUCAACUUCUUACAACUUGUAGAGCCACGAUGGGAUUUCUGGAGGAAAUGUUCAAUUGAGGAGAGUGGCGAGGAGGAGAAGCAGAACGUGGGGGCCUGCUCUUGUUUCCCGACUCACACCCAGAUGGAGCAAAGAGAGCCAGGAAAAGCAAAUUCAGGCAGACCGCAAGGAUGCAAAGAAAGCACUUCUCCAGCCCAGAUAGAGCAUGGGGCCAGCACCAGCGACACCACCAUUGUGCCAACAGCCCCUGCCAACCAUGGCUGGCAUCCCAGAUGCUUGCAAAUUGAAGGCGAAGACACAGGAGGCCUCUGGCUGCCCGCAGGCUCCAUUUCCCCACUCUGUGUGUCUUCGUCCCUUCAUAAAAGCAAUUUCCAAGCUACUUCCCUGCAGAGCAUUAGCAUAAAAGAGGUCUGGCAGUACCAUCCUGUUUCUUUUAUUUGAAGCACAUGCUCAUUAUAGACUUUCUUUCAAAUAAAUCAUAUUGCUGGCUGCAAA